rnacentral:rRNA from 1 species
UACAGAGGUCUCAAGCGUUGUUCGGAUUCAUUGGACGUAAAGGGUGCGUAGGCGGCGCGGUAAGUCGGGAUGUGAAAUCUGGAGCUUAACUCCGAAACUGCAUUCGAUACUGCCGUGCUUGAGGACUGGAGAGGAGACUGGAAUUUACGGUGUAGCGGUGAAAUGCGUAGAUAUCGUGAGGAAGACCGGUGGCGAAGGCGGAUCUCUGGACAGUUCCUGACGCUGAGGCGCGAAGGCCAGGGGAGCAAACGGG